AACGAACGCUGGCGGCAUGCCUAACACAUGCAAGUCGAACGGAUGGCUUCGGCCAUGAGUGGCGCACGGGUGGGUAACGCGUGGGAACCUGCCUUUGGGUACGGAAUAACGCCGGGAAACUGGUGCUAAUACCGUAUACGUCCUUCGGGAGAAAGAUUUAUCGCCCAAAGAGGGGCCCGCGUCCGAUUAGGUAGUUGGUGGGGUAACGGCCUACCAAGCCAUCGAUCGGUAGCUGGUCUGAGAGGAUGAUCAGCCACACUGGGACUGAGACACGGCCCAGACUCCUACGGGAGGCAGCAGUGGGGAAUAUUGGACAAUGGGGGCAACCCUGAUCCAGCAAUGCCGCGUGAGUGAUGAAGGCCUUAGGGUUGUAAAGCUCUUUCGGCGGGGACGAUGAUGACGGUACCCGCAGAAGAAGCCCCGGCAAACUUCGUGCCAGCCGCCGCGGUAA
rnacentral:rRNA from 1 species